rnacentral:rRNA from 1 species
UACAGAGGUGGCAAGCGUUGUUCGGAAUUACUGGGCGUAAAGGGCGCGUAGGCGGCUUGGUCAGUCCCGUGUGAAAUCCCUCGGCUCAACUGAGGAACUGCACGGGAAACUGCCUGGCUUGAGUUCGGGAGAGGGAAGCGGAAUUCCGGGUGUAGCGGUGAAAUGCGUAGAUAUCCGGAGGAACACCGGUGGCGAAGGCGGCUUCCUGGACCGACACUGACGCUGAGGCGCGAAAGCUAGGGGAGCGAACAGG